UAUACUUCCGGAAAAUUUGCAUAACACUAGCAAGUGAGCUUUGUUCUCUGCACAAUUCUAAAGACUCCUUGGCCAGUUUAAGCACACAGAAAUUGUCUUUUUGAUUACUUUUGUGACUUUUGUGACUAUCUAAAGCCGGUCAGUUUUGGAUGUGUCUAAUAGAUGGCGUAAAAGAAUAUUGUGUUGAUAUGUGCUUAUGGCGGCUCGUUGUCAACAGUUCAGCUACAGCUAUUUUCUUCAAAAAUUACCAAUGAAUUCGUUGGAGAAAAUGUGAAAGGGGCAUGCAGCCUACUGUCAACUAUUGUGUUGUAAAUCCUGGUAGCUAUCCUACUGAAUGUGCCAUCCAAAUGACAGAGGAUUCAUCAUAAUUAUCGACUGAUUCUAUUGGACUUGCUAGAUCACCAACCCC